CUCUCGACCCGCGGUCGACGACGCCGCUGCCAGCUCGCCGGUGCCUCCUCUUCAACCCCGCUAUCCGAUGGCAUACCCGCUCCUUCCCCUAGCUCAAGGUGUGGAUUUUAGGUAUCUAGGGAAGAUUCACUUAAGUAACUAUUUCCUAGAUACCUAUGCGCGGUAACCUGUAUGGCAGCAAGCUUUGCAAGUAGUGAUCAUGAAUCUGAAGUAAAUAAUGUGGGGCGCAAAAAGUAAAGUGGACAUGAGUGGUAUGCCAGACUAUCUGACGAGAAGAAUCAACUGAUGGCCCGACUACAAAAGAAAGUUGCAGCCCUCUGUGUGAAUGCAACUGUACCUCAAUCCUCUACCCCACAAGUUUCACCUGGGGCUCUUCGUCACUCUCAAUCCCAUCCUCAUCAAGUUCCUCUAUGUCAGCAUCAUUCUCCUGAGGUCCUUGAGCACUGGUUUCAGAUUCUUGUUGCUC